GAUGAACGCUGGCGGCGUGCUUAACACAUGCAAGUCGAGCGAGAAGUGUAGCAAUACACGGAAAGCGGCGGAAGGGAGAGUAAUACGUGGGAAUCUGCCCUUAGACCUGGGAUAGCAGCGGGAAACUGCUGGUAAUACCAGAUAAUGUCUAUGGACCAAAGGUGUGAUUCCGUCUAGGGAUGAGCCCACGUCCUAUUAGCUAGUUGGUAGGGUAAUGGCCUACCAAGGCGAUGAUGGGUAGCGGGUGUGAGAGCAUGACCCGCCUCACUGGGACUGAGACACUGCCCAGACACCUACGGGUGGCUGCAGUCGAGAAUCUUCGGCAAUGGGCGCAAGCCUGACCGAGCGAUGCCGCGUGCGGGAUGAAGGCCUUCGGGUUGUAAACCGCUAUCGAGGGGGAGCAACUUCCAUAGAGUUAUCUUUAUGGAUUGAGUGAUCCCUGGAGGAAGGACGGGCUAAGUUCGUGCCAGCCGCCGCUGUAAAAC
rnacentral:rRNA from 1 species